rnacentral:rRNA from 1 species
GACGAACGCUGGCGGCGUGCUUAACACAUGCAAGUCGAACGGAAAGGCCCUGCUUUUGUGGGGUGCUCGAGUGGCGAACGGGUGAGUAACACGUGAGUAACCUGCCCUUGACUUUGGGAUAACUUCAGGAAACUGGGGCUAAUACCGGAUAGGAGCUCCUGCUGCAUGGUGGGGGUUGGAAAGUUUCGGCGGUUGGGGAUGGACUCGCGGCUUAUCAGCUUGUUGGUGGGGUAGUGGCUUACCAAGGCUUUGACGGGUAGCCGGCCUGAGAGGGUGACCGGCCACAUUGGGACUGAGACACGGCCCAGACUCCUACGGGAGGCAGCAGUGGGGAAUAUUGCACAAUGGGCGGAAGCCUGAUGCAGCAACGCCGCGUGCGGGAUGACGGCCUUCGGGUUGUAAACCGCUUUCGCCUGUGACGAAGCGUGAGUGACGGUAAUGGGUAAAGAAGCGCCGGCUAACUACGUG